ACUCCACGCUUCCCUAUACCCCUGUGUGGCAUCAGCUUUUUCUGCACUCAAAAUAGGGCUGCUAACAAUUCCUGGGGUGGAACGCUCCUAAUGUACGUAGAGAGAGUGCGGAUCUCUUUACGAGGCUCUCUCCAGCAGGACAAGGCAGGCUUUUUGCUCAGAGUUUCAGCAAAUUUGCCUCACCUGUUGCUGGUCCGGUUGAUUAUCAGGGGAGAGAAUAUGGUGUUUACCCCGCCAGCAUCAUUCUCCCUGCCCUUAGAACAGGAGCUCGGGGCGAGCUUCUGCCGGAGCCCCUGGGUUUCGGGCCCAAGCGUCCGUCUUCCACUGAAGGGCAAGGACUGCACCUACAGUGUGCCAGGAGGUGCUCAGCGUUUGAGGGAAUCAAAACGUGGUGCCGCCUACAAGUUGAACAGAAGGGAAGACAGUGAAUUUGGGAAGAAGGAGGCAUAGUAUGGGGUCAGGUGUCUGCCAUAGUAGCUUAAGGACAUUCCCGCGGCUGUAAAGGAAAUCCAGUUGGAGUGGUGCACGUGGAGCGAGGGAACACGCACAGGGGCACAAGGGUGGCACGUUGAAAGAAAAGUAGCUUCGCAAGGACAAACCUGUUGGGUUCAUCGGAAGCCAGGGCAAGCUGCAGAUACAAAGUCAUGUUCCCCGUGAAGAUGCAUCUAUCCCAGAGUUGAAAAGCAUCUGGAAUCAGAAUCCUCCGAAGAGCUGGUUUUGAAGAAUAAUACUGUCUCCUUUUCCUGACUAUUUGGAUGGCAGCUGUGCCUGCCUUGGAGUUGGCUUGCCUGCAGCUCAGCCCAAGGUCUCUUGUCCUCACUGGUCAGUCAGCUUUCAGAUUGGCACUGAUCUCAGGUGUUCUCUUCUCUGUGCCACAUGGGGGUAAAUAUCCCUUUCACGGAGCCCAGUGAGGAUCACAGGCAAGUGUCCAACCAGUGGUUCUCAGAAAACACGACUGCCAUCAUGAGGAGACAUGGUGGAAAGCAAAGCCUUACGAUGGGUAACACACGUGUGGAACGCAAGCAUGUUGAACCAGGCUGAGGACAUGCUCUUCCCUAAGAAGACUUCUCUGAAUUCCUCCCUCUCAUUCAUACAUCCUUCUCCCGCUACAACAUUUAUAGAACUCAGACAGUCGUCAUUCAGUGCCUGACACGUGCAAGGUUCUUUUUGGAAUGCAGGGGACAGAGACAUUCUACACUGAUGGAGCCCAGAGUCAUGGAAUCUUCCGGUCUACAAAGCUUAUUAACUGCUGAUCGAUCACUAUAGCAACUGAAAUGAAAUAGGAAGCAAGAAGGCAGGGCAAUAUAACCAACUCAAAUAAGAGUUAAAAAUAAGCAAUUCUGAGCACUAGCCUUCAGGUGUUCCAAACCGUCGCACUGGGCUGGGGACAGAGAUGGACAAGGCCGGGCUGGGCUUCAUGCAGUUGUCAAAGCUGGAGACUGUAGAAUCCUAGAACUGAAAGGUAGUUUGUGUCCCAUCUCAUGUCCACUUUUAGCCUUUAAGAAAGUGAAAGAGUACACGCUUUAGAAAUGAGGAAUGCAUGGUGUCUUACUAAUGAUGUCUGGGGACACAGUAUCUGCUGUGCCUCUCUUGGUCAGGUCCAUGCGUCUCUCUUUCUGUGAAGUCUCUUGCCUCACUUAAGUCCAUAUUCUCCUACUGUGUCCACCCAUCAGACAGACCACUUGCCUGACGCACUGUUUCCCAAGCUGACUGUGACACUGCCAGGAGGAGCCAGAGCCUGCUGCAAUGGUACAAAUGGCCGUGACUUACUCAUGCCCCGACUCAGCUCUUCCGUUAGCACUGGUCUCUGAAGGCUGCCAGUAGAAAGCCCCUGUAGUAACACAGCCAAGCCAACUGCUCCCGUGCAUCUGAGCCCUUGAUGAAGGCCCCUCCUCUUCCCUAGAGGGAGGGAAGAAUUGUUGGUUUUCUCUUUCAAUUAUUUUUCCAGUCUAUUAAAUUGUCACAAUCCCUGUGUCUCAGUGAGAGGCGAUGUCAUUUUUGCUCAUCUCCUGGAGACCAGGAACAGUGAUGCCAGAGGACAUAAUUUUUGUGUCUCUGUCACCACCGUUGGAGAAAAGAAGAUGACAACAGAAAAGCGCAAAGGCAGUAGAUAUCUUGGAGAGGGUUAUGAGACACGCAACGAGCAUAACUAUGAUGUUUAUGCCAUUGGGUUAUAUGAAAUAUACAUUUGUAAUCCACUAAGCAGUUUAUCUUUUCAUGCAUCUUAGUUUUCCAGGAUAAUUACCUUCAUGACUGUCCCAUCCCAUGUUCCAGGCAAAGUGUGUGCAAAAUACACAGAUCUGUGUGCCCUGUUUGAAAACACGGCAGAGGAUGGGGGAUUAACUCAAAUUUUAGAAAAACAUGCUGUAGACAAUGAAUUCAGGAUAUGGGCUGAAAGUUUCUUUUAUGUUGUUAGCAAAACUGUUAAACUGUUUUGUCUUUGAACAACAGCAGCAGCUAAUUGAGCCUUCAUCCUGUGUUAGGUACUAUAGCAAGUUCUUUUCAAGGACCCCGGAAGUUUAGAGAGGUUGAAUAACUCACCCACAGAUGUGCAGCAGGCUGAGAGUCAACCUUGAGUCUUAGCUCAGAUCUCCUUUCUUGAUAGGAAACUUCUGCAGUUUUAUCCAAGACCUGCCCCUUCUCCAGUACCUGAGACCCUUCCCUCUUGCCUAAGAAGCAUGCAAGUCCAGUAGUUCUUCCCAUCUGUCCUGAAACAUUCAUUUCCUUUUGUCUGUUAGGUAUUUUCCCUUAGCAGGGACAAUGCUGCUGUUUCACUCAUCUUGAAGAACCUCUCACUGUCUCCAGUCCUUCUCCCUGCUGCCCUCUGAUUCUCUGCAGGACCCACCCUGAUUAGGUUCUCACCCACCAUCUUGAAUGUUAUUCUUCUCACAAUCACUUUCUGCAGUGCAGCAUAGCAGAUGAUAUAGAUACUCCCUUUCUCUUGAAAUAUUGCCUACCCUUGGCUGAUAUAAAUAACCCUUCUUCAUUGUCCACUUUGUCACAUUAUCCCUGUAUGGUUUAUUGUCUUCUUGACAUCUUCUUUCUGAUGAAGCAAUACACAGUUUACUUCUCUAUUUCUCUUUUCUAUCUGCACUCAUUUUUUAUGACAUUAACGUAUUUCUUUGGACUGCCAAUAGUUUUAUCAGACACAUACAUCAAACGGAUCUAGUAUACCCUUCCCUUCUCGGCCAUAUCUGACCCGUCUAUAAUUGUCCACAUCUCAGUUGAUGGCAACUCUGUCCUUUCACUUGGUUAAGACAAAUCCAUAAAGUCAUUUUUGGUUCUCCUGUUUCUCCCAUAUUUGACAUCUAAUCUUCCAAAAAAUCAUAUCGGCUCCAUUUUCAGCAUAUAGCUAGACACUUGCUACUAUGCACCACCUCUCCUGAUCCCGGCCUAAUCCCUGUCAGCAUCAUAUCUUGCCCGGGUUGUUACAGUUGCCUCCUACAGGCCAGUCUGCUUCUAUGCUCGUUUUUUACAUCCUAGGUUCAAAAUAUCAGUGAUACUUUAAAUUUGCCAAUCAAAUGAUGUCAACAGCUCUGUUUAAAACACUGUAGCGACUGUCCAUCUAACUCAGAAACACAAACUCCUUAUGAAGAUGGAUAAAGCCCUCCAUGAUGUGUACCAUUUUCCUCCACAACUCUGAACUUACCUCUCACCCACUCUGUUUGGGACACAGCAGCCCUCUCGCUAGGCCUUUUGGCUGUUCUCUCUGCUUGGAAUCCUCAUUGUCCACAUACACAUAUUGUUUACUCCCAUUUCCUCCAGAUUUCUCCACAUAUGUCUCUUUGCCUAACUACUUCAUUUACAAUUCAACCAUCCCUCACAUAUUCAUGCGCUACUCAGUCUCCUUCUGUACACUGUUUGCUCCACAUCGUAUAUUGUCCUUUAACAUACUCUAAAAUUUUAUUGUGUAUUUUGUUUAAAAUCUGCUCCCUCCACUAGGAUACAUAUUCCUUGGAAAGAGGACUGUUUUCUUUACUGAUGCAUCAUGGGACUUAUGUAGUGCUGAGUACUUUGGCUAAAGAGACUGGUUCUCAAAUGAAUGAAUAAACCAAUGAAUGAGUGAAUCUUAAUAGUCAUUGCCCAAAGAGUUGUGGAGAUGACAUCAUAAUCACAAGUUCAAUAUUCAAGUAGGUUGAUGUUCUGCCCUGGAUUGGUAUUAGGGACUGCAGUUGUAACUCCAUCAGUUAGGAUGUUUACAUUUACUUGUGAGAUGCAGUAGUGUGCAUAGAUUAUGUGCACAUUCCUGAAGGCAGAAGACUUGGAUAUGGCUUCCAUCUCUGGAAUUUACUAGCACUUUGAAUAAUAAUCUAAACCUUUUUGUACCUCAUUUUUUUCCCCUCACCUGCAAAAUGGUAGUAAUAGUAUUACUUAACUAAGAGUGUUGUGUUAAGGAUUUAGUAAAUUAACACAUAUAAAGUACAGGACUUAGUGCCUGUCAUGGGGUUUAGGAUAGCAUUGUAUAAAUGGCAUUAAUAAAAAUGAUAAUGAUGAAGAAGGUAAUGAUAGCAUUUAUAUUUAACAGGAGAGCUUAGACAUUGUAGAAGACUGUGAAUCCAUUCCAUUUUUAAAUAAAGCAGACUAAAUGUCUAGUAUGCUGUAGAAAUACAUCUUGGUGACAUUACAUGAAAGGAGAUAGCAUCUAUAUCACAAAACAUAGUAUUUUAUAUCAGGAACAAAUAUUUGUUAAGCACUUGUCAAGUGUUAGGCACUGUUUUAAGAGCUUUACAUAUAUUUAAAGAUCUGGCAAUUGAGGACAGAGAAAUUAAUUAAUUUGACCAACAUCAUAAAGCUAUUAAAUGAAGCCAUAAUACAAACUGGAUGAACUUACAUAGCUACUGUAAUAGAAGAAAAGGGUUUUUCUUAGUGACUCCUACAGUAAAAAGGAAUAUAUUUAAUUCAUUGCCUAAAGGAUUUACCUUUCUAAAAACACUCAGAUCUGGUCUUAACCGGACCUCCUUACCUGUAGGCAGUUGGAUGUGCGCUCCCAGUUUUCCAGUUGUCAGAGUGAGGCUACCUCAAUGAUGCUGUCAGUGUUAAGAUGGUCUUAACAACCUCGCUCUUGGUAAAGUACUGUCAUUUGAAACUUAUUUAAGUAUUAGAGCGGAUACAAGAUUAACACUGAAAUUAUGCCACACAUCCCAUAGUAAUAUGCUUUUUAAGCAGGGAUACAAAAAAGUUGAAGUGACAUCUAGGAAUUUAAGAAUCACAUCUAAUAAACUGCAUUUCAAAUACAAAGAUCCUUAACAGAAUAAUUACUGGUGUAUGACUAAGCACUGGAACACUUACAGGACAUGAUCAUAGUUGCAGCAGUUUUUGAGGUUUCCUCACAGUCUGGUGUACAGAGGGGGAUCUAUUCCUCCUUGGAACAGCAUGUGCUGUGUAUAUUAUAACAAGAGAAGGGAUUGGGACCUCUUGGAGCAAAUGGUGAGGCGUAAAUGAGUAAGAAAUUGCUUAGAAAGCUACCCUCUGAUCUGCAGAAGUUUGAUAUUUAAUUGAAGAGAUUAGGUCUUAUAUGCAGAUAAUGAACAUAAAAAUAUUUACUCUCCGGCCAUUUCAGAGAAAAAGUUGCCAGGUGGUGGUUAAUAAAGUUUAUAAGCUUUGUACUAAACCAGUGACCAGAAUAGAACCUGACAGGCAAAGGGAGGCUGGGUGCCUCUAUCAUCUUAGGUCAGAGCUGCUCAUUUGUAACAGAGCUACCUCCCCUGGAUCGCAGCCUUCAGUAAGAGUCAAGCCCAAGCUCUAGAGCCCUUCAUGGUUCUGGGAAAGCACCAUCACUCCCAGCCCUAGGAAAUACAUACAGGACUGGCAGGAACCCCACUGGGAUUCCUUGGGAAGCUGUCAUCUUCCAGACACUAACACCUAGCAAAACUCAGUGUUUCACUGUUGCCGACUCCACCUGCUCUGCAGCAUCCUGCAUCUAUCUCACUGUGCACAAAUGUUCUACACCUUCAGCGUCUUCAGGAAGUGCUCAUCACCUUCCUCUGGUAACAGAAUCUGGGAUGUCCCCUGAGGAUAUUGCUCUUCCUCCUCCCCCACACGCACCUAUCUGGCUUGAGGUGGACACGCUGAAGUCAUCAACGAAAAGGACAGCAAAAAGACGGCUGAAAGUCCUCUCCUCCAUGAAAAGAACAAGAAUAUUGGGAUAAAUGGUCAGAAUCAACAUUUUCAGAACUGUGGAAAUUAGCUGAAGGCUUACAGAAAUCCUAGGAAUGAUUAUUUACAAAGGCAGCUGAAUCUCGAUAUGAAUACUAAGCAGUAUGGCAUUUCACCUUGUUGAUUCACACACCCUCCUCUCUCUAGCAACACAAUAACUGGAAAACAACCAUCUGCAAUCAUGGCAAAAAACACUAGGCUGGGGAGCAGAAUGGGACUGGAGUCCUUCACAGUUUCAUUGUUGGGAGUUAUUAUUGACCGGUGUGGUGGUUCCUGUCUAUAUUUUCUGUCUGAGGCAGUGCAUAUUGAGACAAAUAAAAAAUAGAAAUUCUGGAAUUAAAAAUUAUAAUAUCUGAAAUUUUAAAAAAGAAAUCUUGGAAAUGAGAUUUUAUAAGGGGGAUAAGGGGGGUUCGAAAAGCACUGACAUAUUAUUGGCCUCCAGAAGGUAACCCAGCUGCACAUAGGGCCACUUGCAGGCUCAGGUACAGGAAACCCCUCCCUGUUUCCGGCUCUCUGGGAGCAGAGGUGGUGUCAGUUGGGAGCUGCCAAUUACAGUGUGUCCAAUACACACGUGAAGCUCCUUGGCAAUGCCCAGAAGGCUUGGUGGCUCUAGGUAUUUAAGGAUAUCUUCAUUCCUCUGUUAGAGAUUUCAGUGGUUCCACAACAGAGAAAUAGCUCAUAAAAGUCACUUAAACCCAGAGAAAGGAGAAAGAAUCUCAUUUCCAGAGGUGACAUAUGAUUUUAAAUAUCCAGUUCUGAACAAAAAAUGUUUGAGCCAUGGAAAAGGCAUUCAACAAAAUCAUCCCUGAGGAACCCCAAAUAUUGAUCGAUCACUAGACAAAGACUUUAAAGCUGCUACUUACAUUUAAAAAUUAAUGAACAUAAAGGAAAAUAGUAGAACAGUAUCUUAGUACCUACAUACAUACACACACACACACAAAUAGAAAUUCUGGAAGUAAAAACUAACUGAAAUUUUAAAAAUCACUACAGGGACUUUAGAUAUGAGCAGGCAAAGACAGACUAAGUGAAUAUGAAGAUAAAUCGAUCAAGUCAUCCCUUCCGACAGCUGCAUGUACCUGGUAGUCCUAGCUACCUGGGUAUGUGGGGCAGGGGGCUCACUGGAGCCCAGAAUUCUGGAAGCAGCCUGAGCAACAUCAUAAGGCCCGAUCUCAAAACAAAAGGUUAACUUAUCUAAGAAACAGAGAGGGAAUGGAGAGAAAAAUGAUGUUAGAGAUCUGCCAAGCAUACUAAAAUACAUGUAAUGGAAAUCCCACCCGUGUACACACAUCAGAGAGACUGAGACAGGCAGAGGGAAGGGGUACAGGGGAGUGGAAAAGAGAAGGGAAAGGAUAGGAAAGAGAAUAUUUCAAGAAUAAUGGCUGACACAUUCAACGAGCACCAAGUAGCACCGACUCAUAGGUAGAUGCUCUGACAUACAAUGAAUGAGUGGUUGAAAGUCAAAGGGAUCCAAAGAGAAAAAACUGACCCUGUACAAGUGGUGGGGGUUCAAGAAGAGUAACAGGUGAUUUGUCAUCAGCAAACACAGAGGAAGACAGAGGAUGACAUUCCAAGUGCUGCAAGAAAAGGACUGUCAAAUAGUAACUCUGUAUUUAGCUAAAUUACCCUUCAAAAAUGAGCGUAAAUAUUCCCAGUGAACAAAAACCAAGAGAAGUUAUCACUAAGCAGAUCUAUAUUUUAAGAAAUACCAAAGAUUUCCUUUAAGCUGAAGGAAAAGGACUCUAGAAAAUAACUCUAAACCGCAUAUAGAUAAAGAGAACUGUUAAGAGUAACUACGUAGGUAAAUAUAAAAGACAGUCUCUAUAUUAUGUCUUUUACCUAUCGGAUUGAGAAGAAAAAUGCAUAAAACAGCAGGUAUAAGUCUGUGUUGAUUCCCACAUGAUAGGUAGUCACUGUAUGACAAUCAAAAACCCAGAGGAGGAGGAGUGAAAUGGACUACA